GAUGAACGCUGGCGGCGUGCCUAAUACAUGCAAGUCGAGCGAACAGACGAGGAGCUUGCUCCUCUGACGUUAGCGGCGGACGGGUGAGUAACACGUGGAUAACCUACCUAUAAGACUGGGAUAACUUCGGGAAACCGGAGCUAAUACCGGAUAAUAUAUUGAACCGCAUGGUUCAAUAGUGAAAGACGGUUUUGCUGUCAUUUAUAGAUGGAUCCGCGCCGCAUUAGCUAGUUGGUAAGGUAACGGCUUACCGAGGCAACGAUGCGUAGCCGACCUGAGAGGGGUGUUCGCCCAACUUGAACCUGAGACAGGGUCCAGAUCCUUAGGGAAGGAACCGUUAGGAAUCUUCCGCAAUGGGCGAAAGCCUGACGGAGCAACGCCGCGUGAGUGAUGAAGGUCUUCGGAUCGUAAAACUCUGUUAUUAGGGAAGAACAAAUGUGUAAGUAACUAUGCACGUCUUGACGGUACCUAAUCAGAAAGCCACGGCUAACUACGUG
rnacentral:rRNA from 1 species